CCCUCCAGUAGUCCAGUGCUGUGCACGCUCGCGGCGCGGAUCCAACUGACGAGUCCACCAAUUCCAGCGCGCGAAACCCUCGCCGGCGAUGGCCUCCGCCGUCCUCGCCGACCGGCGCGGACCGCACCACCUCUGGGCCGAGAAUCGCGCCGCGCUAACCACGCCCAGCCCUAACUCCGCCCGCCAUGCCCUCCCGCGCGCCGACACCUCGAAGGCGCCGCCGCCGCCUGCACUGGCCACUCCGGAAGACGGCUACCUGACGUUCCGUUCGACGGGGUUGUCCAACUGCAACGCAAUUGCGCUCCGGCAGCGCCUCAGCGGCGAGCUGGGCCAGGUCCGCGCCCUCCUCUCCCGCAUCGUCACGUGGCAGCGCGAACUGGACCGGCAGCAGCAGAACCAGAACCUCCCCGCGCCCGCGCCUCCGGCGAAGCUCCGGGAGGCGAUGCGGAGGCGGUGCGCGCAGAUCCUGGCGAAGCUGCAGAAGGACAAGCGGAGCGUCUGGUUCAACUCGCCCGUGGAAGUGGAGGCCCUGGGCCUGCACGACUACCACGCCGUCAUCAAGCACCCCAUGGACCUCGGCACCGUCAGGGCCACCCUCGCCGCAAAGAAGCACCCCUCGCACCACGCCUUCGCCGCCGACGUCCGUCUCACCUUCUCCAACGCGCUGCGGUACAACCCGGUCGAACACGGCGUCCACACCUUCGCCGGCGACCUCCUCGCCUCGUUCGGGGACAUGUACCGGGCAGCCGUCGCUUGGUUCGAGGACGAACGCAAGCGCAUUGCGCCGGUGAAGGUGGAGCUGCCGCCAGCGCAGGCGAAUCCGAGGGCGGCGAAGGUGCGGAUGCCCAAGGCCAGGGAGCCGAACAAGAGGGAGAUGAGCUUGGAGGAGAUGAACAUGCUUAAGGUGGGGCUGGAGAGCUUGCCUGAAGAGAAGAUGCAUAACGUGAUGCAGAUUGUGCAGAAGAGGAGUGCCGGCAAUCCAGAGCUGCUCGGGGAUGCGAUUGAGCUGGAUAUCGACGAAAUGGACAUCGAGACGCAGUGGGAGCUUGAUCGAUUCGUCACCAACUUUAACAGGGCGCUCAACAAGAGCCGACGAUCUGCAAUGAUAAAUGGGGACAGUGCUGAGAUCAACCAUGCUGCUGGGUCUGAAGCUGUGCCUGCAUUUGUUGACAAUGCUGAUGUUGUGGAGGGUGAGAAUUCUGAGAAGACGACUGUAAUGGCUGAGCAAGUGGAUGAGUAUGUAGAUAUUGAGGAUGAGAUGCCAACCGCGACUUACAAAUCAGUGGAGAUCGAGAAGGGAUCUGAGGUCGUGAGUGUCUCUGGUGGGUCGGGCAGCGGCUCCUCAUCAUCCAGUGGAUCGGGGCCAGGGUGCUCAGGGGAAAGCGCCUCGGAAGCUGGCAAUGCUCGUUCUCUGGUGUAGAGGUGGUUGUUCUGACAGUAGAUUUGAGUAGUUCCAAUUCCCGCAUGACAGUGUGGGACGAGGUGAUAAGUUUGUUCUCCACAAAUUGAGAUGGGAUAUUGAUGCUUGUUAUUCUGUGUUGAUCCGUUCACUCAGCAAGCUGAACUUGGGGUAAAAAAAGCUUGAUGCAAACGGCGACUUCAAGUGGGCAAAGCAAACUACCAGUGACGGAAUGACUUUAGUCUCCAGUAAUGACAGCGGAUCCCUCCUUAAUUCUCCUCUCGCUCCUGCCGUUUCUGCACCGCGGCGACGGGGCAUAGGAACCUCGGUGGGGCGAGGUGCAACAUGUGCUGAGCCUGUGCGCGUGGAAGGAGGACGGUGCUGCACGAAGGCUCGUGGGCCGACAGACGAGGACCGACCGGAGAGCUCGGCCUCUCCCAGGGUGCACCUCACGGAGAGGCGGAGAGCUCAGCCUCUUCCCUCUUGGUUCUGAGCAGAAGGCUCGCGUGGCGCCCUCCGGUGGAUAGGGGCGGGGCUGCGCUGGAAGGACAGACCCGACGCCCCCAUGUCGAAGAUUGUGACGCGCUCGGCCCUCGACUCCAACUCUGCGAGCACUAGCUGCCCUACAAGAGUUCGAGGUCCUUGGCCUUAGCCUCCACCCUCCCGUCGACUGGCUGGAUUUGGUGGUGCGACAUGUGCUCUGAAGUUUGACGUUGUAUGGACGUGCAAGUAGUCACGGACUAACACAACCUUUACAGGGCAAAAGUGAAUUAAGGCGGGUACAGUGCCGUUAUGCAGCUGCAUACAUGAUUGUGCAUCCUGAAUUCCUGAUCGAAGUCCGCCAACAAAAGAUAAGAAUUAAGAAGUUUUCUAUUCUGAAGGUUAUUUUGACUUCAAUUUCAGUAUAUAUAAGCUUCAACAUAAUUGGGACUGAACUGAUUUUACUGCUAUAAGGGCACUAUAUGCUAAAAUUAUACGAUUGUUCUCUUAAACCAUAUAUCUGGUAGUGAGCUAUUAUUACUUCUACAAUUAUGCCUGAAGGUAAAAAAUAAUGUUCUUACUAGCAAUUUGAUUCAUAUUAUUAUCUAUUUCCAUCAGUAUGCAAUUUUUGCAUCUACAAAUAUGUCUUUCCUCUCUGAAUUUACUGGAGUUAAACUACGCAUGGCCUGCCAGUUGCACAUUCUACUUCACAAGGUCAGUACAGAACAACAUGAUUUAUUCCGUCCAAUGCUUCGUUUUUUUCUGCAACUCGGACAUGUAUUUUUCUUGAAAAACUUAAUGCACGACUGCUCCUUAGUUCCUACUUUUUUCAUGAAAAACUUAAUGCACAACUGCAUUUGCCCGUGUUAAAUAGAGAUAAAUAGUUGAAUUUAUGGAUUGCUACCACCAAUUGAAAGUUGGAUAAAGUUUAAUGAAGGGUUCUUCUCUUGUUCCUAACAUGGGUGAGGUAUUAUUGGCAUAUCCUACCAACUACAGUGGUAAAGUUCUUUUUCCAACAAUCAGACUGUCGACAAAUGUUGUACGUCUUAACAAGGGACCCAUUUAUGUGAAUUCACCUAUAGCUAUAUAUCCUAGCAAGUCAAUAAUCGUAUAUAUACUUAAACACUAUUAAUAUGUCGAGAUUACAUUAAUAUUUCUUCUGUGCUUUAGGUUGUUGCCCAAGAGAGAGCUUAUCUUGCGAACUGUUUCAGUGGGAUCUAAAGGUUCAAACCUUCCAGGCCAAUUUUCUGGUGAAACAUCUCACUAGACACCAAAGUCACGGUCUUUAUCACUGGAAUAUGCUUCAAUUGGAAAUAACAACAGUGAAGAAAAGGUGUGGUUCUCUUUUGAGAUUAUUCUCAUAUGAUAUUUGUUUACAUUUAUGAGAACAUAUUGGUAUAGUCAAACAUGUGUGCUUAGUUUCGAAAAACACGGAAAUCUAGAUGCCAUGGAUAAAGGAGGAUCAGGACUAAGCCUGAGUGAUUGUAUGAAGGUUGUGGUAUAGAUGUCGAUUACGCCAAAUGAGUGAGUUCAUUUAGGGGUCAAAAUUUUGAGUUUCUUUCAAUUGCAAGAUUUUAGAUUGAUAUGAAUUGGAUACCACUCAACAGUCAGCACCAACCGUGAGGAGGGAGGGAUACUAUUAUCUUUAAUUUCUGGUCAACUUAAAAACUGCAGAGAUUUUGCAUCACGUGUAAGUCAAGAUACUGCCGUGUUGAGGAACAUAUGUACGCAUGUCAUGUAAAAUAGUACUCCAUGUAUGUGGGUGAUUUAAAAACAGGAACAGUAGGUGCAUCUCUUUUUCAGAUAUUCACUGCAGAAGCCUCCUGCUGCUUCAUGGAUUGAAGAAAAUACGUAGUUACAAUAUUUACAGAGCAGCCAUUUUGGCCUACAUGGGAAGCAACACCUUUUACAUGUCUAAGAUAUCAAUAUACAUUACACAAAAUUCAUGAUGCUCCGACUGUACUCUACAGGUACAUUUCUUAUUAAGUAUGUACAACCAUGAAAACUAAAAUAUGAUUCAGGCUUAAAGUACUUUGAGGAACUAUACCAAGUCAAUUAAAAUUUCUUUCCCUGAUAGACCCAGUAAGAACUUAUGCUUAUGGAAGCUCUGUGAUCCUAAAGUUAAACAUGUAUUUCAACCUUUAAGGAAGGCCGGUGUUAAACUGACCUUCUCUCCGAUUUUGAUACAUGUCAACAAACACUUCUACAGGCCUUAAAAUGCGAUCACUGGUUUGAUGCGGUUACCUUGUCUACUGAGUAAGUUGAUUAAAAUGUCGCUCCUUCUAUCUGCCAAAUCUGCUGAGGAAAAUUGACUGAUUUUGUCACUCCUUCUACCUAUCAUUGAGAUAUGGUUUAUAUGUUAAGGUGCAUCACUCUUUCAUUUACUGUGCAGCUGCAAGUUAGCAUGUUUAUAUGCAGUACAGCAUUAGGUGGCUGGCGAAGUAAGUUGAAUAAAAUUGUCACUCCUUCUAUUUGCCAUGUCUCCUGAGGUAAAUUGAGUGAUAUUGUCACUCCUUCUACCUAUCUUUGAGAUAUGGCUUAGAAGUUAAGAUGAUUACAUGUACCGCAUAUCCAGCGAGACAACGUCCAUCACUCCUCUUCUGUUUGGGCCGAGCGCUCACGGGCCUACCGUGCGCUUCCUCCCUUGAGUGCCAGAAUUUACGACGAGGAAGAUACUGGUCUAUACAGUCUAAUGUGAGAAGCAUUACAAUAAUUUCAAGGUACAAUUGGAAAUCUUGAUUUUUAUUGUGCAGUUCUGCAAAUGGAUGUGUUAAUCAUGCAUUACCUGAGAAAACUCCUCCAUGUCUUCAGUAAUUAGGGCUAUGAAAAGUAGACCAGAUUAAUGGUGCCAUGAUUAAAAAUGUUCCAGUUCCUCAUAGAUAAAACAAGCUAGAUGGCAGAUUUUCUAUAUAGAGAAGAAAAUUAGGACGACAUUCUGAUUCCCAUGAUGAAAGCUAAAAUAGUGCGACGUCGACAGGAAGAGCAUGAGCUGGAUUGCAUCAUACACAUUGUUCAUACAACCACAAUAAUUCCCACCAUCCAUUUUCCAAGAUACAAAUUUUUACAUUGGUUACAUGUUUUGUUCAGCCAUGUGUAGUUAAUACUUAUCGUGGAUGAACAGUACCUCGCAGUGCAAUAUUUAUUUGGAUUAA